CGUAGGUGGCAAGCGUUGUCCGGAUUUAUUGGGUUUAAAGGGUGCGUAGGUGGCCCUGUAAGUCAGUGGUGAAAUAUCUCAGCUUAACUGAGAGGGUGCCAUUGAUACUGCAGGGGCUUGAGUACAGAUGAGGUAGGCGGAAUUGACGGUGUAGCGGUGAAAUGCAUAGAUAUCGUCAAGAACACCGAUAGCGAAGGCAGCUUACCAAGCUGUAACUGACACUGAGGCACGAAAGUGUGGGGAUCAAACAGGAUUAGAUACCCUGGUAGUCCACACUGUAAACGUUGAUGACUCGAUGUUGGCGAUACACAGCCAGCGUCCAAGAGCAAUCGUUAAGUCAUCCACCUGGGGAGUACGCCGGCAACGGUGA
rnacentral:rRNA from 1 species